UAACUUCAUUUUAACACCUGAUUGUUUCUUAUUUCUUUUUAGUUGGAUCUCUUUGUAUUAAAAACCAACCACACCAAACAAAACAAAACAAACAAAAUUUUUAAAAAAAGACACCUAAGGCCAGCAUCCACUUAUUUUACAAAGCAUGAAAUUUCAGUGUUUUACAUAAUUGUGAACGGAGGAGAGUAUAUGGAAGAAGUAUAUUUGAACUGGAAUAAGGAAAAAAUGUGUGCCUUACUCUUUGAAGAUAUUUGUGGACAAUGGCAGUAGGUAAAGUACAGUUGCUUGAACAUAGCUAAAUGGUACAUCUGGUGGAGGG
rnacentral:lncRNA from 1 species